CACUUAGCUCUCACGGCUUUGACCGACCGGUGGCGGCCAGAGACGCACAACUUCCAUCUUCCAUGUGGGGAGAUGACCGUGACCCUCCAGGAUUGGGGGAUGAUUAUGGCCCUACCGUUCGAGGGUCGUGCUCUCAUAGGACGAGUGGAGAGGACGAACUGGCACGAUAGGGUUGUCACCCUCAUUGGCGACUGCACCCCCCGCUAA
rnacentral:rRNA from 1 species